rnacentral:rRNA from 1 species
UUUUUGGCCCAGAUCGUUUACCGUGAAAAAAUUAGAGUGUUCAAAGCGGGCAGAUAUUUUUCCUGCCACCGAAUACAUUAGCAUGGGAUAAUGGAAUAGGACCCUGACCUCCUAUUUUCAGUUGGUUUUGUUUACAGCGAGGUUAUAUCAGGGUAAUGAUUAAUAGGGAUAGUUGGGGGCAUUAAUAUUUAAUUGUCAGAGGUGAAAUUCUUGGAUUUAUGAAAGAUUAACUUCUGCGAAAGCGUUUGCCAAGGAUGUUUUCAUUAAUCAAGAACGAAAGUUAGGGGAUAGAAGACGAUCAGAUACCGUCGUAGUCUUAACCAUAAACGAUGCCGACCAGCGAUUAGGAGACGUUGAAUACAA